CCCACAUCCGGUGCUCGCGAAUCUGGGAGCUUCCCCGAGAGCCGACUGUUCCCGACCCCCGGAGAGCGAACUGACACUAGAUUGCUUUCUUCGGGGCAACAGUUUCUCCAGUUUAGCGGACGCUCACUGCCUAAAGCAGACCAGGUGCCAGGACCUGAGUUGACCUACUCUCAUUCCUCUCCGGGGUCUUACUACUUUGGAGAUUUUCUCAAACUCCACAUUCAAAGCCAUUGACCUUAUUCCGGGAUCUUACACCCAUUCCCCACCCCAGUUACACUCCCUUCCCCAGCCCCGAGCAUCGGAGUCGAGAGCUACAGGGACACUUCCGUUCUCCUUGUAGGAUUGGUGGAACCGUAAUGAAGAACACCCCCUAAACUCCCAUAAUUGGUGCGGAUUCCUAUGGGGAAGGCCCAUAUUGUUGACAUCUUCCAGGCUUUGAUUCUGGACCUUGAGAAGGAGGUGGAACUAGUAAUAGAGAUGCUUUUUAGGGUAAAAGUGUGUAGGUAUUGGGGAAAGGGGAGGGAUCCGUGGAAAAGGAAUGAAAGUAGUUUAAAGCCCAUAUUUCAGUUCUUACUGUUCAUAUAGAGUCCAACUUGUGAGUUACUUAUUUACAACCUGUA
rnacentral:lncRNA from 1 species